AGAGUUUGAUCAUGGCUCAGAACGAACGUUAGCGGCGCGCCUAAGACAUGCAAGUCGAGCGAGAAAGGGAUUCGUCCCCGGUAAAGCGGCGCACGGGUGAGUAACACGUAGGUCAUCGACCCUCGAGUGGUGGAUAACCCUCCGAAAGGAGGGCUAAUACAGCAUGAUGCUAGCAAUAGCCAAAGCGGGCCUCUUCAUGAAAGCUCGCGCUAGAGGACGAGCCUGCGGCCCAUCAGGUAGUUGGCGGAGUAAUAGCCCACCAAGCCAUAGACGGGUAGCUGGUCUGAGAGGAUGAACAGCCACACUGGAGCUGAGACACGGUCCAGACUCCUACGGGAGGCAGCAGUCGGGAAUCUUCCGCAAUGGGCGAAAGCCUGACGGAGCGACGCCGCGUGAGCGAUGAAGGCCUUCGGGUUGUAAAGCUCUGUGGGGAGAGAAGAAUAAGUUCAGGCGAAUACCCUGAAUGAUGACGGUAUCUCCUUAGCAAGCACCGGCUAACUCUGUGCCAGCAGCCGCGGUAAGACAGAGGGUGCAAACGUUGUUCGGAUUUACUGGGCGUAAAGCGUGUGUAGGCGGCUUCGUAAGUUGGAUGUGAAAUCCCACGGCUCAACCGUGGACGUGCAUCCAAAACUACGUCGCUGGAGUCUCGGAGAGGAAGGUGGAAUGCUUGGUGUAGAGGUGAAAUUCGUAGAUAUCAAGC
rnacentral:rRNA from 1 species